rnacentral:rRNA from 1 species
AUGCAGUCGAGGGGUAUAAGUUCUUCGGAGCUAGAGACCGGCGCACGGGUGCGUAACGCNUAUGCAAUCUACCUUUCACAGAGGGAUAGCCCAGAGAAAUUUGGAUUAAUACCUCAUAGUAUUAUGACCCGGCAUCGGGAUGUAAUUAAAGUCACAACGGUGAAAGAUGAGCAUGCGUCCCAUUAGCUAGUUGGUAAGGUAACGGCUUACCAAGGCAACGAUGGGUAGGGGUCCUGAGAGGGAGAUCCCCCACACUGGUACUGAGACACGGACCAGACUCCUACGGGAGGCAGCAGUGAGGAAUAUUGGUCAAUGGACGCAAGUCUGAACCAGCCAUGCCGCGUGCAGGAUGACGGUCCUAUGGAUUGUAAACUGCUUUUGUACGAGAAGAAACACUCCUACGUGUAGGAGCUUGACGGUAUCGUAAGAAUAAGGAUCGGCUAACUCCGUGCCAGCAGCCGCGGUAAUACGGAGGAUCCAAGCGUUAUCCGGAAUCAUUGGGUUUAAAGGGUCCGUAGGCGGUUUAGUAAGUCAGUGGUGAAAGCCCAUCGCUCAACGGUGGAACGGCCAUUGAUACUGCUGAACUUGAAUUAUUAGGAAGUAACUAGAAUAUGUAGUGUAGCGGUGAAAUGCUUAGAGAUUACAUGGAAUACCAAUUGCGAAGGCAGGUUACUACUAAUGGAUUGACGCUGAUGGACGAAAGCGUGGGUAGCGAACAGGAUUAGAUA